rnacentral:rRNA from 1 species
UGGGGAAUAUUGGAGCAAAUCGGGCGCAAGCCUGAUCCAGCAAUGCCCGCGUGUGUGAAGAAGGCCUUCGGGUUGUAAAGCACUUUUAUCAGGAGCGAAACGCUGUCGGCUAAUACCCGGCGGAACUGACGGUACCUGAGGAAUAAGCACCGGCUAACUUCGUGCCAGCAGCCGCGGUAAUACGAAGGGUGCAAGCGUUAAUCGGAAUUACUGGGCGUAAAGCGUGCGUAGGCGGUUUCUUAAGUCUGCUGUGAAAUCCCCGGGCUCAACCUGGGAAUGGCAGUGGAUACUGGGAGGCUAGAGUGUGUCAGAGGGUGGUGGAAUUCCCGGUGUAGCGGUGAAAUGCGUAGAGAUCGGGAGGAACAUCAGUGGCGAAGGCGGCCACCUGGGACAACACUGACGCUGAGGCACGAAAGCGUGGGGAGCAAAACAGGAUUAGAUACCCUGGUAGUCCACGCCCUAAAACGAUGCGAACUGGAUGUUGGUCUCAACUCGGAGAUCAGUGUCGAAGCUAACGCGUUAAGUUCGCCGCCUGGGGGAGUACGGUCGCAAGACUGAAACUCAAAUGAAUUGACGGGGUCAUAGCUGUUUCC